GAUGAACGCUGGCGGCGUGCUUAACACAUGCAAGUCGAACGGUGAAGGCGGAGCUUGCUCUGCUGGAUCAGUGGCGAACGGAUGACUAACACGUGAGCAAUCUGCCCCUGACUCUAGGCUAGGCGCUGGAAACGGCGUCUAAUACUGGAUACGAGCUGCGAAGGCAUCUUCAGCAGCUGGAAAGGACUUCGGUCAGGGAUGAGCUCGCGGCCUAUCAGCUUGUUGGUGUGGUAACGGCUGACCAAGGCGUCGACGGGUAGCCGGCCUGAGAGGGUGACCGGCCACACUGGGACUGAGACACGGCCCAGACUCCUACGGGAGGCAGCAGUGGGGAAUAUUGCACAAUGGGCGGAAGCCUGAUGCAGCAACGCCGCGUGAGGGACGACGGCCUUCGGGUUGUAAACCUCUUUUAGCAGGGAAGAAGCGAAAGUGACGGUACCUGCAGAAAAAGCGCCGGCUAACUACGUG
rnacentral:rRNA from 1 species